AGCAAAAUCUCAAGAACUCAAACUUUCUAGGGUUUUGUGGCAAUUCGGUUUUGGCUGUAGAAAACCAGCAAAACACCCUGACUGGUGUGAAAUAAUUCAUCUCUUGUGUACAUCUUAAAACAGGAAGAUGCUGUCUUGGAACAGAAGAGCUCUCAGUAUCCUCUAAAGAUUGUCUUACAACCUCAGUAACAAGGAGGCUUGGGUUUUUAGUAAGUUGUUUUCAUAUUUAAAAUUUCUGAACUCUAUUGAUUUAGAUUUCUGAAAUUAUAUUUUGUGCACAGUUGAUGGAGAUGCUGCAAGACUGAUGUUUAAUCAGCAUCACUGACGGAUCAGAUCAGCUUGUUUUUACAUGGAUUUUCUUCCUGAUGACCACAGUUAACUAUGGGUCUUUUUUAAAAUGACUGUAAAGUACUGAUUGCAUGGUUAUGGAGGCACAUUACUAGAAGCAAUGCCAACAUUUUACAACAUUUUACAGUUGUGCAGAUUCACGGCAUCUAAUCUACUGGUAGUGGUUUGUUGGUUUAGUUUAAUUUUAAAGUUGAAACCUGACAUGAUGCUUUAAUGGUUCAGUAGAGGGAGUUAUUUUGUUCUUUUAAACAUUAUUUAUGCCCUAAGAGAAUUGCUGGGCUGAGAAUCACAUUCUUCCCAUUGCUUCACUGUGGCAACAUUUCAGAUUUGACUGUAAGGAUGCAGCAGCACUGGAUGAGAAACAUUCAAUUUCUGUAUCUGCUCCCAUGCAACCAGUCUUCUGUGACAAAUGCAAAUUCUCAGUAAGAAUAUUUACUCAAAGAUUAAAACUCUAUUAGAUGCUUUGAUUAGACGCUUUGCAAAUAGACCACAGUAUACAAAUCAUGGGGUAAUAAAUAUAAUAUCUGUUCCUCCUGAAUUUGGCCUUGGGUUGGCAUUGUAUCUUAUUUCAAGUGUUCUACAAGUACUGUAGCUGCAAAGUGGUUGAUAGCUAAGAUCUUCUUUUUGGAGGGUAGCUUCCAAGGAAUGGCACAAGUAAUGGCAAGAAGAAAGAAGUUGGUGAUUUUGCUCCCAGGACAUAUGUGAAUCCAAAUAUUUGUGUAAAGAGCCUAUGGAGGGGGGGAUGAGGAAUAUAUAUAUAUAUAUAUACACACACACAUAUAUAUUUGUGUAUAUCUUAGAAGAAAUAGAUCUUUCAAGACACAAAAGAUUCAAAUCAAAUAUAAAUCCUAUACUUUAUUUUAUAUAUAUAUACACAUAUAUAGGUAUAAAUAUAAACAUGGGUGUAUAUAUACAUGGUCUGUGGCUCUGAUGCUUUUCAGCAGUUCCCUUUAGUGGAGAUGCAGUGCACUUCCCAUUGGGUGCAUCAUGACACUGGACCUGGGGCUAUCUGCCUGAUAACAUGCUUGGCAGAGGAGGAAACUAAGACACCAAAAGCUUUCACCAAGGCAAAAGUUCUGGUGGGGAUGAGCCCCUGUUGUCCCUGAGGUAAGAGGCAACCCUCUGGAUACAAUGCAGUGAGGCUGGAGGAUCUGCUGUCUAGUUGGCUCCACCUUCUUGUGAAAUGGCUUAAAUGACAACAUAAGGCACUGAACGAUUUGACUGUCAAGUUGAGAUACCAUAGCUACUUUAGCCAUUAAAUUAAGAUGGAAGUCAAAGAACCUAAAGAAAGGAAGAUGGGUUUCCUUAUCUAUAGCCUAGGGAAAAAGGUAAGACUCUUCACCAGGCACUUAGAGGUACUCUAGUUUAGGCAUCUGAAAGUGGAAUAAGGUGAACGUCUGUGUAGUUUGCCAAGGGUACAUAUGAUUGCCAUGUAAAAAAAAAUCUUUUUAUGACCUUUUGAAACAGCUUCCCCAUUUGCAAGGUGUGUUGGGAAACACAAGUACAAAAAGCAGUUGAAAUGCUGGUCAUUACUUCUGUUGCUGUUUUUUUCUGAGGUAGGAUUUUUUCCUUGUGUUUCUUAAGCAUUCAGUGAUUGUCUUUGAGGAUUGUAAUGGAAAUUAUCUUCACUGAUGAUCUUCAAAUAAAAGAAAUACAUGAUUUGGUGGUGCUACUUGAAGGUUGUGUUGUGUCUGUCGCACACCUGUGAUAUCACUGACAACUGUGGACAGUGACAGCACACUCAGAUUGUGUGAGAUGUAAACAAGUUCUGCAAUACACUCCUCAUUUCUCUUGUAGCUUUCCCAGACUUUUGCUUUGGGAGAAAGGGUAAAACAGACCACAUUUUCUAUUCUAUAGGAAGAAAGUGAAGGGUUACAUGCACAGCUGUAUGAAGCAAUGAGAAGUGAUGAGCAGCUCUCAGAGUGGGGGUGAGAUGCAUUUCACCAGGGGAAGCUGUAGGAAAUGGCUUCCCUUCUUCCUCCAAGAGAAAGACUUCUUCUGAGUAAGUAAACUUCUGCAGAUUGUUGUGGGUUUUGACUCAGCAUCACGUUCAGUCUUACCUGUUAUCUUUAGUGUGGACUGUAAAGUGUUCAGUCUUCAAGAUUGAUUCAACUAAAGGGCAGAACACAGUUAUGGAAAAGUAAUGUAACAUUAAAGAGCUAAGAGUUGACUGAAGGAAGUGUGUGAACAGAGUAUUUGUUCGUGGUUAUAGGGUUAUGGAGGAGUUACUGUUAUUUAUUGCUUCAGCAGAUCUUCGGUAAGUUUACGUUUACUGGAAAUCUCCCUCCUCAUUAUCUGUAAAAGGAGGGAAAAUGUGAUAAAAACUGUCUGAGUUAUUUCUUCCCAAUUUGUGAGUGCUACUUUACCUAACAAGUGACUGGAACAGAGGGAUGUCAGCUGCUAGGGGAACUGCUUAUCCCAUGGCAUGGCUGGGAGUGUUUGAGGAGGGGAGGCUGCAGAGGGUCAUGGAUGGAAAGGGUAAGAAACUUGCUGAGGUCCUGCAACAAAGCAGCACUAAGCUUUGCCUUUCUGUGGUUUAAAAAAAUAAU